rnacentral:rRNA from 1 species
ACCCAAUAGAUACCCAGGUAGUCCUUGCCGUAAACUAUGUAUACUUGAUGUAGCUGGGCUCAAACCCCGGCUGUGUCGGAGCUAACGCGUUAAGUAUACCGCCUGGGGAGUACGCUCGCAAGGGUGAAACUCAAAAGAAUUGGCGGGGGCCCGCACAAGCAGUGGAGCAUGUGGUUUAAUUCGAUGCAACGCGAAGAACCUUACCCAGAUUUGAAAUGCAGAGGACAGUCCCCGAAAAGGGAUCUCCCGUAAGGGCCUUUGCACAGGUGCUGCAUGGCUGUCGUCAGCUCGUGCCGUGAGGUGUUGGGUUAAGUCCCGCAACGAGCGCAACCCUUAUCAUUAGUUGCCAACGCGUAAUGGCGGGGACUCUAAUGAGACUGCCUAGGUUAACUAGGAGGAAGGUGAGGAUGACGUCAAGUCCGCAUGGCCUUUAUAUCUGGGGCUACACACGUGCUACAAUGGUCGGUACAGAAGGCAGCGAAGCCGCGAGGUGGAGCAAAUCCCUAAAACCGGGUCUCAGUUCAGAUUGUAGGCUGC